UCAGCUCUCAUUGCCUUUUGGCUUUGAUCAAGAUGCAGUAACUGUUCUUCUUAGUUUGAUCGCUAGGACGUGCCUACGGGUACACUACUGAUUAACCCCAUUUUUGGACACCGGGCUCUGGGCGCUGGGCUUGCUCAUCUCAGAGUCCACAGUGUCGUUCCUAUUGCACUACCUGGUCCUGACGCGAAAACCU
rnacentral:snRNA from 1 species